CAGCAGCCGCGGUAAUACGUAGGUGGCAAGCGUUGUCCGGAAUUAUUGGGCGUAAAGGGCUCGCAGGCGGUUUCUUAAGUCUGAUGUGAAAGCCCCCGGCUCAACCAGGGAGGGUCAUUGGAAACUGGGAAACUUGAGUGCAGAAGAGGAGAGUGGAAUUCCACGUGUAGCGGUGAAAUGCGUAGAGAUGUGGAGGAACACCAGUGGCGAAGGCGACUCUCUGGUCUGUAACUGACGCUGAGGAGCGAAAGCGUGGGGAGCGAACAGGAUUAGAUACCCCGGUAGUCCCUGUCUCUUAUAC
rnacentral:rRNA from 1 species